UAGGGAAUCUUCCGCAAUGGACGCAAGUCUGACGGAGCAACGCCGCGUGAGUGAAGAAGGAUUUCGGUUCGUAAAACUCUGUUGUUAGAGAAGAACAGCGCAUAGAGUAACUGUUAUGCGUGUGACGGUAUCUAACCAGAAAGCCACGGCUAACUACGUGCCAGCAGCCGCGGUAAUACGUAGGUGGCAAGCGUUGUCCGGAUUUAUUGGGCGUAAAGCGAGCGCAGGCGGUCAAUUAAGUCUGAUGUGAAAGCCCCCGGCUCAACCGGGGAGGAUCAUUGGAAACUGGUUGACUUGAGUGCAGAAGAGGAGAGUGGAAUUCCAUGUGUAACGGUGAAAUGCGUAGAUAUAUGGAGGAACACCAGUGGCGAAGGCGACUCUCUGGUCUGUAACUGACGCUGAGGCUCGAAAGCGUGGGUAGCAAACAGG
rnacentral:rRNA from 1 species